GAAAUUUAUAGAAGGUUAUGUGGUUAUCUACGCCAGUACUAUGGAAAUUGGCCUCAAUAACAGACAUGGCGUCGAAUUGCCAAGCAAAUCAAAGAUUGACAUAGUCUCUUGAUAAGCCUACCAAGUGGUGCGGGAUUAAGACUAGCAAUCAGCUUGUACUACUUGUAGUCAGUCUUGUUGUCUGGUUAAACUCGUCUGGUGAAAGCAACACAAUCACACAUAAUCGAUUCAACAAUUAUCAUGCCACAUGUGGCAAGAAUAAACAACAGUCCAACAAUGUUGGGGGCCGGUCUGAGCUGUUGUGGUUGCUGUGGCGCUGCCUCUGGGGGGAGCAUCAAAUAUGAGAGGCAUUUCACAAAGGGUCGCACCACGCUGGACGGCCGCAAGCGGAAGGGAGCAAAACCACACAUGGCGAAACGCGCAGUCAGAAUAGAACAAAUAUAAAGUGUUUUCUAGUUGGCAAUGCGCGACCAAGAGAUACCCUGUACCCAGGCCGUCAAUUUGCUGAUCUACAGAUAAACAAAAAGGCGCACGCGUCUUCCCGUGUUCCUGGCUGUGCAUUUUGGGGAAAUGGGAGAAGUAUCCAAUGAACUAUUUAUAAACUGAUUUCCGAUAUUCAAGCUCGUACUGACGCACAGACGGUCAUGUCCUGAUCUGCUCUGGCACUUUUUAAGAUCAAAG